rfam:Plantibacter sp. Leaf314 contig_1, whole genome shotgun sequence.
CGGGCCGGCUAGACGGUCGCGUCACCGCGGCCUCCGGGUCACGGUGCCGAGGAACGUCCGGGCUCCACAGAGCAGGGCGGUGGGUAACACCCACCCGGGGUGACCCGCGAGACAGUGCCACAGAGAACAGACCGCCGUGGGCGACCACGGUCAGGGUGAAACGGUGGGGUAAGAGCCCACCAGCGACCGGGGUGACCCGGCCGGCUCGGUAAACCUCGUCCGGAGCAAGGUCAACAGGGAACGCUGAGGCUGCUCGCCAAGUUCCCGGGUAGACCGCUAGAGGGCGGCGGCAACGUCGUCCCGAGAGAGAUGGCCGUCCAAACGCGAGAGCGUGGGACAGAACCCGGCGUACCGGUCGACCCGUUCA